UACGAAGGGGGCUAGCGUUGCUCGGAAUUACUGGGCGUAAAGCGCACGUAGGCGGCUUUCUAAGUCGGGGGUGAAAUCCUGGAGCUCAACUCCAGAACUGCCUUCGAUACUGGAAAGCUCGAGUCCGGGAGAGGUGAGUGGAACUGCGAGUGUAGAGGUGAAAUUCGUAGAUAUUCGCAAGAACACCAGUGGCGAAGGCGGCUCACUGGCCCGGUACUGACGCUGAGGGGCGAAAGCGUGGGGAGCAAACAGG
rnacentral:rRNA from 1 species